CAGAUGAUGUCGAGACCGGUUUUUAGUUGCCAUCGCUUUUAAGGAACGAGCGUAGCUUGAGAGGCGGGCUGGACUGGGGGUGGGUAGAGGGUACCGCCGCCGCCGCCGCCGCCACUGCCACUGCCGGUGGGCGGAGGUGGGAGGAGAGCAGGAGGUGAGGCGGCGUGCCGGGGUCGGGUGAGAGGCGGAGGCGGAGGAGGAGGGGUGGGGUGGCGGCGAGGCGGAGGCUGUGGCGAAGGGCGAGGAGCGGCAGCGGAGGCGGCCGCUUCCGGCGCGCCUCCUCCGGCGGCUCUUCUCGCUGUUCCGGGCCGUCGACGUCGCCUCCCACGAGCACCCGUAGCGGUAGCCCCAGCCGCGCCCGCCGCAGCACCAGCGGCCGCCGACCCACAAGUGGCGGCGGUACUGGCGGCAGCAGGAGCGGCCACGGGCGCUCAUGAAGCCCGAGCAGGCACCGUGGCGGUCGCCGCCGUCGUGGGGCGGUGGCGCGAUGCACAGGGCGCAGACGAGGCGGUAGACGCGGGAGUACGGGUAGGAAUGCGACACGAUACCGGCGUACCUACAAGGGGACUGCAAUAGCCGUAAAUAAUAACGUUAUAGAAACCACAACGUUUCUCCUUUGGGGGCAAAGCGAGUCGAUUGAUCAAGUCAAAAACCAAAUAAAAUAACACCGAUAGAAGGAAGAAAGACCCAAUUCGAGGCAACGCCUGAUCGUCGAGGACGGAAUUUAUGUUCAUAUCGUGUAUUGACCGGUUAUGAAGAACCACCCGUUCGAGUGACCUGUCAACCUGAACAUCGUUGGAACUAUAGAUAAUGAUCGUAAUAACGACGACUAUGUAGUCGAAAGGAUACACCUUCCCGUAAACCUGCAUGAGGAAACUGAUUGUAUUCGGGAUUCUUCUGGGACCUCCCACGAAAUCGGCCAGACUGACCGACACACGAAUGGUGACACGAAAACAGCUGAGAGAAAGCGACCGGUUCUAGCGACAACUCACGAUGACGAAUACCCUAGGACUAGAAAGACCCAAGUAAUAAGCCCCUAGAGUAACUUAGAGAAUAAUUCGCACUACGACCACACUUCCUGAGACCCAGCGAGUAAGGACCGGUACCACCAUAAGAACUGGCCCAGCUGUCGAUACAGAAGUGUCCCCGCGAAACAAUGAGGAAGCAGGCUCAUCGAGAUGGGGACAUACCUCAGACUAAAUGGCGUCGCUCCUUUUAGCCAGAGGAACAUGGAAGUUGCUGUAACAGUGGGUUACAUUGCAGCACAACCCCGGAACUACUCUACCGGUCCUAGUCGAGGGAACCGACGUGUUAUACUCUUAAGCCACCGACCGACAUUUCACCCUAUUCUAGUAUCCUACACCGACGAUUGAUUCGCCACAAAGAAGAAGUAUGUCCUAGCUCGACAAAGAAGAAGCCGCGGUUUUACCAACAAAUACCCUAGGACCAUGAACAACUAGGGGUUUGAAAAAACGUACGGGGGGUGUCCCGGAGAAACCGUUGAUGAUGGACUCACUGUCUCACUCACAUACAACUCUAACUGUAAAAUUAGAAAUCGUGUACCUUUACUUAAACGUUUGUUUCACGUUCGUUGUCGAGUUGAGGGUAACAUUGUACCUUGUGUCAAUGUAAACAAGGUACCUUGUUUCAACAUGUUCGUUGUCGAGUUAAGGGUAACAUUCUACCUUCACAGUCUUCACACAGUAGCAUAAAUGAGCUUGUUCGUUGUAGAGUUAAGUGGUUUGUUUUAACUAGAUUCCAUAUUUACUGUUCCCUCUAGAGGUUUUUGUUCUAUACAGCUCCCGUCGUGUCACUCUCGAUUUGUGCUGCCCUAGAGGGUAAGGGAGCAUGAUCGGGAUGCUUUACCUAUUAUUAGUGGUCAGAAAAUAGCACGGUAGACGACAGUGAACAGUCAUUAAGACACCACUCUUUCCUUCAGGGGCAGCGCUCGAAAGGGUUGUUGCCUGGCUAGUAAAACUCUCGGUCAUCUACUAGUUUUUCUACCACGUCCGGCGCUAAUGACGACUUUCUUACUAACACAGGAAACUAAAGAAGGAGAACUAC
rnacentral:rRNA from 1 species